UUCUCUAAUAUAAGGAGCCUGACUCAUAGUGAGAUACGGAAAGAGGAAGACUUAGCCUGGGAAGAAAAUGGUAUUGAUACUAUUGCCUCAYGACAAAAUCCAAUGCACCUAAGCCAGAGCAAAUCAUGACUCUUGGAACAAGCAGAGGUCUUUGAAGUCAGCUGAAGAAGGGUCUUGCUGGCUGCAGGAAGCUGCUAGAGAACCCAGCAAUGUACCUGUGGUGGUAGGAAGUCAUGAGUAAAUCUGGAGGUAGCAGCCUGAGUGUGGAUAUCGCUAUGUUCACAGGCAGUCGCAGCUGUAGGCACUGCCAAGUGGCUUUGCAAGAAGCACAURUGGACAAAUUGGAGCCGUCCAGAAGUGGAAUAGGGUGAAUACACAUGGAAACAUUAGUUGAUCAGCUGUUUUAUGUUCCAUUGGAGAAAUGCUUUGAAUCUGAGCUAUUUUUUAUAAGCAAGAUAGAUAUAAGCAUGGUUUCAUUCUUGUYUUGUACAUGAUAUUUGAAAAAAUAAAACAAUGUCUCUUUGUUA